rnacentral:lncRNA from 1 species
AGGAGACAGAUGAAUUUCUCAUUCUUGUAGGCUACCAUUUCUUUUGGCUUAUUACAAAACAACAGGAUGCUGCAGCUUUAUCAAAGUCUACUUAUUUGUCCACUAAAAGUUUAUGGCUAUACGUUUCCAACUAGAACAUCUGAACACCAAUAUAUGGAAUUCUGACAAAGUUAAAACCAGGAAGAGAUCCUAUGAAGGCUGACAUUUUGUACAUCUGUUUUAUAGAACAAUAAAAAUAAGAAGAACAAGAAUAAGAACAGCAACAACAUUUGCAGCCACUGUCUAGACCACAGGAAACCUGGUCAACAACAUAUGGGAUGUCACCAGAUUCAGACUCAGAAGUUUCCAUAAUGCCGUUGCCAACAGCUAGACACAAUGAAGAAACGGCUAUAUAGAGAGAUAAAGAAGCUUGCUCAAGGAUACACAGCCAGAAAGCAAAAGAGUUGGAGUUUGAACUUCGACAGUCUAACUCGAGGUUCUUUCUCUGUGUUUAAUCAGUCAACCACACUGCCUCUUCAGAAGCACGCAUAAUUAGGUGAUCUCCCACCAGAGUGUACCAACAAGUGGAUCGGUCAAGAUAAAUCAUUACAGUGUGUCGAGAAACUAUUAGAACACCUAUUUAAAGGCAGUCUUAAUUUUUCUUAAGUUCUAAAAGCAUAAAUGAAUGUCAAUAUUUAUAUGUGUAAGCUGUUAAAAAUUACAACAAAUACUCUAAUGCUUAUCAACAACCCUGGUAACUAAAACAUCAGCAAUAUUUCUGAGUUUCUCUUCAAAUUCAUCUUCUCUUUUCUGCUGUUUGUCUCUUUCCCAAAGUAUACAUUGGUAAUAAAACUGAAAUUUUGGUCUUCA